rnacentral:rRNA from 1 species
GAUGAACGCUGGCGGCGUGCCUAAUACAUGCAAGUCGAGCGAACAGAUGAGGAGCUUGCUCCUCUGACGUUAGCGGCGGACGGGUGAGUAACACGUGGAUAACCUACCUAUAAGACUGGGAUAACUACGGGAAACCGGAGCUAAUACCGGAUAAUAUAUUUAACCGCAUGGUUCAAUAGUGAAAGACGGUUUUGCUGUCACUUAUAGAUUGAUCCGCGCCGCAUUAGCUAGUUGGUAAGGUAACGGCUUACCAAGGCAACGAUGCGUAGCCGACCUGAGAGGGUGAUCGGCCACACUGGAACUGAGACACGGUCCAGACUCCUACGGGAGGCAGCAGUAGGGAAUCUUCCGCAAUGGGCGAAAGCCUGACGGAGCAACGCCGCGUGAGUGAUGAAGGUCUUCGGAUCGUAAAACUCUGUUAUUAGGGAAGAACAAAUGUGUAAGUAACUAUGCACGUCUUGACGGUACCUAAUCAGAAAGCCACGGCUAACUACGUG